GCCUCGAUGAUGUAGUGGUAGCACGCAUUCCCCCCACCCCCCCCCCCUUUCCCCCGGUGCGGAUGAUACGUGGGUUCGACUCCUGUUUUAGGACG